rnacentral:misc_RNA from 1 species
GAUGAAGAACGCAGCGAAAUGCGAUAAGUAAUGUGAAUUGCAGAAUUCAGUGAAUCAUCGAAUCUUUGAACGCACAUUGCGCCCGUCAGUAUUCUGGCGGGCAUGCCUGUUCGAGCGUCAUUACGCCCCUCAAGUCCCCUGUGGACUUGGUGUUGGGGAUCGGCGAGGCUGGUUUUCCAGCACAGCCGUCCCUUAAAUUAAUUGGCGGUCUCGCCGUGGCCCUCCUCUGCGCAGUAGUAAAACACUCGCAACAGGAGCCCGGCGCGGUCCACUGCCGUAAAACCCCCCAACUUUUUAUAGUUGACCUCGAAUCAGGUAGGACUACCCGCUGAACUUAAGCAUAUCAAUACGGAGGA